rnacentral:rRNA from 1 species
GGAUUAGAUACCCUGGUAGUCCACGCCGUAAACGUUGUGCACUAGGUCGGUGGAGGUCUGACCCUCUGCCGGCCGCCGGGAAACCAUUAAGUGCACCGCCUGGGGAGUACGGUCGCAAGGCUAAAACUCAAAGGAAUUGACGGGGGCUCACACAAGCGGUGGAGCAUGUUGCUUAAUUCGAAGCAACGCGAAGAACCUUACCCGGGUUUGACAUGCAUGGAUUAGCUACUGGAAACAGUAGUGACGCCCUUUGGGUGGAACAUGCACAGGUGCUGCAUGGCUGUCGUCAGCUCGUGUUG